UAAUAAAAAGAAAAUUCGUCA
rnacentral:piRNA from 1 species